rnacentral:tRNA from 1 species
GCACCCGUAGCUCAACUGGAUAGAGCAUCAGCUUCCGGAGCUGAGGGUUACAGGUUCAAAUCCUGUCGGGUGCACCA